UACAGAGGGUGCAAGCGUUAAUCGGAUUUACUGGGCGUAAAGCGUGAGUAGGUGGCUCGCUAAGUCGAUUGUGAAAGCCCUGGGCUCAACCUGGGAAUUGCAGUCGAUACUGGAGAGCUCGAGUUCGGUAGAGGGUGACGGAAUUCCCGGUGUAGCGGUGAAAUGCGUAGAUAUCGGGAGGAACAUCGAUGGCGAAGGCAAUCACCUGGGCCUGAACUGACACUGAGACACGAAAGCGUGGGUAGCAAACAGG
rnacentral:rRNA from 1 species